CCUACGGGAGGCAGCAGUGAGGAAUAUUGGUCAAUGGGCGCGAGCCUGAACCAGCCAAGUCGCGUGAGGGAAGACGGCCCUACGGGUUGUAAACCUCUUUUGCCGGGGAGCAACGGGCGCCACGUGUGGCGCCACUGAGAGUACCCGGAGAAAAAGCAUCGGCUAACUCCGUGCCAGCAGCCGCGGUAAUACGGAGGAUGCGAGCGUUAUCCGGAUUCAUUGGGUUUAAAGGGUGCGCAGGCGGGCCUUUAAGCCGGCGGUGAAAUCGCGGGGCUCAACCCCGCCGAGCCGUCGGAACUGGGGGCCUUGAGUGCGGCGGAGGCAUGCGGAAUGCGCGGUGUAGCGGUGAAAUGCAUAGAUAUCGCGCAGAACCCCGAUUGCGAAGGCAGCGUGCCGUGCCGCCACUGACGCUGAGGCACGAAAGCGCGGGGAUCGAACAGGAUUAGAUACCCCUGUAGUC
rnacentral:rRNA from 1 species